rnacentral:rRNA from 1 species
UACGUAGGGUGCAAGCGUUGUCCGGAAUUAUUGGGCGUAAAGAGCUCGUAGGCGGUCUGUCGCGUCUGCUGUGAAAACUCGGGGCUUAACCCCGGGCCUGCAGUGGGUACGGGCAGACUAGAGUGCGGUAGGGGAGACUGGAAUUCCUGGUGUAGCGGUGAAAUGCGCAGAUAUCAGGAGGAACACCGGUGGCGAAGGCGGGUCUCUGGGCCUUACCUGACGCUGAGGAGCGAAAGCGUGGGGAGCGAACAGG